CUUCGAUUCAUGGGGUGCUAGGGCUACAAUGUGCCAGGUCUGUCCUGCAGACCCCGGCUGACAGAUGAAAUGAGUACUCAGACAUAGGUAUGCAAUGUAAGAGCAGCCAGAGGACUGCCUGGUGCAAGUGGCCAGAGCGCAGCCCUGGGAAGCUGGAGCUGCUUGCUUUUAUUCAGGGCAGGUGCAAUGCUGAAAACCUGGAGCCAACACAACCUGAAGGUAAUUAACAUUUAUUGUUCCCCUUUCAGGGAACUUCACAUGCAGGGAUGAUCAAAGGUCAGUUCCUGGUCAACAUAACAAGAUUGUUUAAGAUCAAUUCCCCCCACACUCCCUUGUAUCUACUCCUUGCCCUCUGUCUCAGGGUUAUAGAACAGCUGCUUCCAGCUAUUCUCCCCAGGGGCUCUGCAGACCCUUCCAACCUUUCAGAAGGUUUGUGUCCUUUCCCUAUAGUUUUUCCCACCACUCUGAGUGAUCCCCUACAUCUCUCCCUUUUCUGUUUUUUGCAUCAGGUUUAGUUGAUUGAAGCGUACAGAUGUGUGCAGCGACAGGUUUGACAGGUGCAGCGGUUACAGCUUGUGUUCCAGCUUUGCAUCCUUACAAGAGUUGCAAUGUACAACAGACAGCAUAGCAAGGAACAGAUUAUCUGGAGUGAAUGGUGUCUGUGAUUCACUUAGCCUCCUGAGUUGUCUUAUUUAGCAUCCCCCAGUUGUCUAUUUCACAUUCCCCAUCCGGGACCUGUGUUGUCCGAGGAAGCUGCAUUGUCCGGGGCUGCGGGUCCUACAGGCUCACAUUCUUCAUUUCCAGUACUGCAUUGGGUCCCAGCCAUGCCAUGGUAUGGUUUGAUGCAUUGCACUGGAAUCCCAAGAGGACCUGAGGGGAUGUGAACACAAGCUGCGCAGUCACUUCACGUUCAUUUUCGAGGGUUCCAUCAUGAUCCACUGCGCUGCUCCUCACACGGGGCACCACCUGCCUAGUCUGUCCCACAGACCCUGACUGGUGGAUGAACUGAGUACUCAGACACAGGUAUACAGUGUAAGAGCAGCUCAAGUGGCC
rnacentral:lncRNA from 1 species